UAACAACUUUUUCACCAUAUUUAUUGGUAAUUAAGAGUCAAUUAAUUGAGUGAUUGGCAAUAAUUAUUUUGUUCAAUGAUUUUGUAUUACUUAUUCAUAAUUCAUCACCUUUAACGCCUAACCAUCUCUUUGAUUAUCAACUUUCAAGUUAAUCAACAGUUUGAUCAUUCAACUGAAACAGAUUGAAGUAACUUUAAGAUCAGUGUUUUAUUGAAAACAAUGUUUACCUCAUUAUUAUGGGUAACUCAUUUUGAUGAAAGUAUACGUUUUUUUCAUAGACUUAUCAACACUUUGAUCAAGAAUGUUGAUUAUCAAUGCCAUUUACCGUGAGUUUACUUGAAUGGUAAAUCUUGAAUAUAUUACAUGAGCAACUCAAUUUUGUUUGCCGACAUCGUCUUUUGAUGGCUUCUUGGUUGACUGAUGGAUCAAAAUCAAGUGUUAAAGUGAACGCUAAUUUAACCUUUUACUGCUAACCGACUGGAGCUGCAUUCAAAGAAUGAAUCUGCAAAAAUAGCCAUGAAUUUCAUUUUCUCAUUGCAUGGUGCACACAAAGGGUUACCUUGGUUUUUUUGUAAGAUUCAUCGGUUCACUGAUCACUUUCAUGUCCUAUUUUGAAUACCUCGCAUAUGGUUGAUGCUUAAAGUUAUCCAUCCAAGGAAUAUGAGGAAUUGUCUCUUGGUGUGAAAUUUGAUACUCCAAAGGUGCCAAAAAUGAUUUAUAAAACAUUCAAUAUGAGGACAAAACAAAAAAUUUAUUGGUGCUAUUCAAUCAAUGGCAUUUUAAUUUAUGAAUUCGUCAUCUUCAUUGUUGGUUACAGAAAAUGAUUUUCUAUUGCAUCUGUUUACAAUCAAUUCAGACAGUCUUACUGGAGCAUUGCGAGGAUUUAUAUUUUAUGUUAGUGUGUUUUUGCAAAUUUAUUUACCAGAAUUAUACCAUUUAUUGUAAUUAUUAAUUUACAUUGUUCUAACACUUUCAUCUUAUUGCAAUAAACAAAUCUUAGAAUCGCGA